UACGGAGGGUGCGAGCGUUGUCCGGAAUCACUGGGCGUAAAGGGCGCGUAGGCGGCAUGCCAAGCGUGUGGUGAAAGCCCGGGGCUCAACCCCGGGUCGGCCGUGCGGACUGGCGUGCUCGAGCACUGUAGGGGCGGGUGGAAUUCCGGGUGUAGCGGUGGAAUGCGUAGAGAUCCGGAAGAACACCGGUGGCGAAGGCGGCCCGCUGGGCAGGAAGGCUCGCAAGAGCCGGCUGACGCUGAGGCGCGGACAGCGUGGGGAGCAAACAGG
rnacentral:rRNA from 1 species